GGAAGAGUUGCCUUAGUGAUGAUGAAAUUGGAGGGAAAUAUGUAAUGCUGCUGUGUUGGAAUCUUCCCCAUGAAGAAUGCUUUCCCACCUUGGAUCUACAGAGAUGUCUUUUGUAAUAGGGUUUGGCAGAAAAAGCAACAGACUAGGAGUCAGGCGGUCUCUGCUUUGCUAUUUACAUCCACCUAAUUCGUAGAACCCAGACCCAACCUGCAAACUACUAAGUCCUGGCAAAACCGCAGCCAUUAGCAUGGGAUCCACAUUCCCAGUGCAUGUUUAGAUGGCCUUCUCUUCACCCUCUCUGAUUCCUGGUUAAUGUUUUCUUUGCCACCCUGACUUAUGAGUAUCAGGACUCAUGAGCAGCAAGAAAUAGAAAACCCAGCUCAGACUGACUCAGGCCAAAAAGGGUAUCCGUUGGCUUAUCUAAUUGUAGGCAUUGCUGGGUAUAAGGACUCCUUUGAUUUGAUUGGGACUCAGUUUCUUGCCAUCUCUCAGUUCUGAGUUCCUUUUCCUUGACUCCACUUUUUAGCAGGGUCUUUCCUCCUGAUGAUGAAAUAGUUGCCAGAGAUGCUAAGCUUAUAUCCUCUAAAGCUUCAACUUCAGUAAAACAGAGAGCCAACUUCUGUUUCAGCAAUGUCAGUAGUGUGUGUCACUAGCUUUGGAAGGGUGAUUCUCCUGAUUUGGGACUAGAUCAAAUGUUCCCCCCAGCGAGGUGUGGUGGCUCAUGCCUGUAAACCCAGCACUUUUGGAGGCCGAGGCAGACAGGUCACUUGAGGUCAGGAGUUUGAGACCAGCCUGGCCAACAUGGUGAUAACCUAUCUCUACUAAAAAUACAAAAAUUAGCCGGGCAUAGUGGUGGGCACCUGUAAUUCCAGGUACUUGGGAGGCUGAGGCAGGAGAAUCGCUUGAACUUGGGAGGAGGAUGUUUCAGUGAGCUGAGAUCACGCCACUGUACUCCAGUCUGGGUGACACGGCGAGACUCUGUCUCCAAAAAAAAGUACCCCCGCCCCACCUCUGCAGGAGAGGAAGCCCCACUCGAAUCACUUGGGUUAAAAGUAGGGGAAGGGUUAAUCUCAGGUGAAAAGGAGGUAGUACUGUUGCAAGAAGAGGGACUGGAUAGAUGUGGGUGACCCAACCAUAACUACCUACUCUCCCUCAGCUCCCAAAACAUAGCUCAAGCGUUCCUCAGUAGCAGGAAUUUUACAAAACACUGCUGCAAGUUCCAAUAAGAGGUAUGUUGCAAAUACCUAAAAUUAGCUGGAAUUUGUAACGAGUUUUUAUUUUUAAAAAUAAGUUAGAGUGGAUUCAGAGUUAUCCUGGUAAAGCUUUCAGUGAUGGAUAUGUGAGCAUUUUAAUACGGUUGGCUCUAUUUGUGUAAAACUUUGAAAAUUUUCACAACAAAAAAGGUAUCCCCUAAAGAAUAUCAAUUUUACUCAUUUGUUUUCCAAAACACUUUUUUUUAUAUGGGAGGUAGGUUGUCAGAGAAGGGGUGCUCAGGCCUGCUUGUUAGACUAGAGAAGGCUUCCUGGCCAAGUGACAGCUCAGGAUGUGGGAAGUAGUAACAGCCAAGUGAGUGCAUUUUUUUUUUAAGAGAUGGGAUCUCACUCUGUCACCCAGGCUGGAGUGCAGUGGCACAAUCACAGCUUACUGCAGCCUUGACUUCCUAGGGUCAAGCCAUCUUCCCACCUCAGCCAUUCUAGUAGCUGGGACUAUAGGCACACCACACCACCUGGCUAAUUUUUUAUUUUUUGUAGAGAUGGGGUCUUGCUAUGUUGUCCAGGCUGGUCUUGAGACCAGAACUCCUGACCUCAGGUGAUCCUCCCACCUCUGCCUCCCAAAGUUCUAGGAUUAUAAUUAUGAGCCACCACACCUGACCUGCAUUUUGAAUACAAUAUGAGAAGGGCUUUGUAAACUGUAAAGUGCCAUAAAAGUAUUGUAAGUAUGUGGUGGAAGAAUAUUUUUGAAAUAUUAACAUGAUUUUCCCCUCAGCUUUUUUUCCCAUUCUUACUGCCUUUGUUUUCUCCUCACUCAGCUAAGCCAAUCUAUAUUCAUUCUAUCAGGAGGAAGACUAUGACAGCAGGAGAAAGAACAAAGAAUCUUCUAAGGGGCACAGAAAAGAGAGAGUUAUUAAGUCUUCCCCACCACCAGACUAGUAAAAAGAUUCCCUAGACUGGGAGAACAGAGAGAGCCAGAAGUUCUAUGCCUGAAGCUUUCCAAUGACAAAAUAAGAAUUCCCCAUGGCAGGUGAAUGGGUAAAUGAUGGAAGUGUCCUAUGCAUGAAUUAUUAUGUAGCCUUUAAAACGAAUGCAUUAAAUCUAUGCCAGUUCAUUUGGAGGGGGCUUCUGGUUUACAACACCAGCGAGAUGUAGACAAAGAUGCUACAAAAUUCCUUUUUGUAGAACAAAUGAUGCCCAGCCCCCAUUAUUAACAUAGACAUUUGCAUGUUUGCAUACAGUUGCAUGAGCAUGGGCAAAAAGUAUGAAAAGAUACACUUUGCUUCCUAACACUAUUUACCUGGGGAGAGAAAAUAAGUGGGAGGAAUAGAAACUUAAAAAGUAUGCACAAUAAAAAAGCAUUUGUGGCAAUUCCAUUUAUGUGAUAUUCAUAUGUAUACAUACGUGUGUGAAUGCGUAUGUGUGUAUGAAAAGAUUACCACCAACUCAAAUGGUACAGAUAUGUAUGAAGAAACUCAAGAUAAAUAAUAGUAACAUUUUGAUUAUUGAGUUUCCUUAUAGUUAUCUAAAUUGUUCAAAUUAUUUUCUCAAGCUUCAUGUAUUUUCCCACUUUUAAGCAGGCAAUAACAGAAACUAUCUUAAAGAUAACACAUUUAAAUUUACUGACACACAGUAGGCACCUAAUAAAUAGUUUAAAGAAAAUAAGUAUAAUUCUCAAAAUUCAAUAAAGAUCUUGUCAUUGUGGAGACAAAAAGAACCACGCUUGGAGAGAAGCCAGAGAUAGCUGAGAAGAUGCUCACUCUGUCUUCUCCUUGAAAGAAAAGCCAACACAGAUUUAAGAGGUCCAAAAAUGAUAGAGAGGAAGAGAGAGAGAGAGAAAGAUUUUCAACCUGCUGCUUUUCAACCAAAACAUUGCAGCAAGGGCUGCAAGCCACAUACGUGGAAUAUACUGAGAAUUUAGCAUCUGAUCAUGAGCAAACUCAGAGACAUGGAUGGUCCUUCCUGCUACUUCUUUGAGUUUGCAGGGCUUGGAGGCUGUAGCAGUGAGUGGUGCUGCUGUCCUAAUGUCCUGACUAUACCGGGAGCCACUCUUCGAUCAUUCUUCUGUCCAUUCAGAUGAGUAGAGAUGGGCUGCAUGAACGGUUUUAUCCCCAGGAUCAAGUGGAGCAUCUGGCAUGGAACAGCCAGCCACUCAAUGCGAGGGGCUUUGUGGAGAGCUGUCCAUCAUCCUUGCCUGCCCAAGGACAAUGACUUCUCAGCUUUCACCAUGCAUCCUGCAGCCAUGGAGGGAAGCAAAAUUAACUGGUCUCCAUCAGCCUCCCCAUCAAACAUUUGCUGAGCACCCAUCAUGUGCAAAAUAUUGACUAGGAACUGUGGGAGAUGGGAAGAAUUCUGGAAACUCCUAACUCUCAAGGAAUUUGCAGGGUUAUCAGACAGUUGCCACACAAAGACAUAAAAACAUCCCCUGCUAAAAUAAAGACCACGCCAGAUAUGUGCUGUAGGUAUUCACCCCUGCAGGAACUCUGGGGAAAAUGGGGCAGGAGGAGUCACCCUUGGAUGUCACAAAUGGCUCUCCAAAGGAAAUAGAACAACAUCGCAGCAUGAAUUCUGAAGCCGGCCCACCUGCCUGCCUUGAAUUACAGCUUCCACCAGCUGUCUGGCCUUGGACAAACUACUUAACUCUCCACAUCUGUCAAAUGGGGAUAAUAAUAUAACAAUCCCCCAAUAUUGUGAGGAUGAAAUAAGCUAAUACUUAGGAAAAGCUUGGAACAGUGCUUGGCACGUCUUAAGUGUGAUAUGUGUGAGCUCCUUCCUUGAUUCUCAUUCUGACUUGAAGAGGAUUUUUAGAGGGGAGACCCAGGGAACAGUGGGGCAGCCUAGACGGGUGGAAAGUGUUAUGCUGGAGGCUUAACCUAACCUGGUUCAAAACCUGGUUCUGCUAUUUCUACCAGUGUGACCUUGACUUAAACUCUCCAAAGCUCAGUUCCUCACUUAUAAAAUGGUAAUAACAAAACCAAUUUCAUUGAAAACGUAUGCUAACGAUGCCAUGAUAAAUAAUAGUUAUUAUUAAAGAGAAACACAGUAAAGAAGUUCCCAGAGGGAGGUGAAUAAAUUAAGCAUGAUGACGUGCC